AUUUUCACAUGUGCAUUUGGUGUUUUAACAGGAGUGGUCACCAGAAUCGCACCGAUCCAUCAGUCGAAAGGAAAGAAACAGUCAUUCUGAUGACGUUGUCACUCUGACUAAUAUAGUCUCGGCGGGACACGAACCCCCUCAGAACCCAGAGGAAACUACAAGGUGGCAUGAGUUGGACUGCUAUUACGAGAACCUAAGUGGCUAUGCACCGGCGGGUAAAGACUACUCCUCGGACUGGUCUGAUGACGAGAGCCCCAAAAAAUACAUCGCAGCCAACGGGGUGGAGGAGGAGGAGAAGGUAGUCGGGGUUCGUGUUAAAGCGCUGUAUGAUUACACAGGGCAGGAGGCUGAUGAGCUGAGCUUUAAAGCAGGUGAAGAGUUAAUGAAGCUGGGUGAGGAGGACGAGCAGGGCUGGUGUAAAGGACAGCUGUCCAGCGGAGAGACGGGUCUCUAUCCUGCAAACUACGUCCAAAACCUCUCGUCCUGAGAGCCCGUCUGCCCCGGGACAGACACACACACUUAUCUGAGGCAGUCAUGAGGUCGAGUCACACCGAACCACGAAACCCCAUGAUGGAGCGACUGCCCCGACACGCCAGCACAUUAGAGAGGAGCGAGUUCAGUGAUUGAGUUUUGAUUUUUGCUGACACACUAGAGGACUUUAAGAAUAGUUAGUCCCCCUUUGUCCUCGGGCUUAAAGAAAGAUCAGUGCCUUUAUUGUACAAUGCCGGA